ACCGUAACUAACCGUGCGCCCUAAACGGAUUCCCACCAAAGGUAAGGCGGGCCGUUUCAAUAGGAAGGCAAGGGUUGAUCACGUGGUUCACUCUGCUUCGGGGGGGGGAUAACAUUUGGAAACAGAUGCUAAUACCGAAUAAAACUUAGUGUCCCAUGACCCAAAGUUAAAAGGGCUUUGGGCUUCACCUAAGACGGUUUCCGGGCGCAUUAGUUAGUUGGGUGCUAAAGGCCUCACCAGCCAAUGUAGGCAUAGCGGAUUGAAGGAUUGAUCGGCCCCAUGGGGACUGAGACACGGCCCAAACUCCUACGGGAGGCUGCAGUAGGGAAUUUUCCACAAUGGGCGAAAGCCUGAUGGAGCAACGCCGCGUGGUUGAUGAAGGCUUUCGGGUCGUAAAGCACUGUUGUAUGGGAAGAACAGCUAGAAUAGGAAAUGAUUUUAGUUUGACGGUACCAUACCAGAAAGGGACGGCUAAAUACGUGCCAGCAGCCGCGGUAAUACGUAUGUCCCGAGCGUUAUCCGGAUUUAUUGGGCGUAAAGCGAGCGCAGACGGUUUAUUAAGUCUGAUGUGAAAGCCCGGAGCUCAACUCCGGAAUGGCAUUGGAAACUGGUUAACUUGAGUGCAGUAGAGGUAAGUGGAACUCCAUGUGUAGCGGUGGAAUGCGUAGAUAUAUGGAAGAACACCAGUGGCGAAGGCGGCUUACUGGACUGCAACUGACGUUGAGGCUCGAAAGUGUGGGUAGCAAACAGGAUUAGAUACCCUGGUAGUCCACACCGUAAACGAUGAACACUAGGUGUUAGGAGGUUUCCGCCUCUUAGUGCCGAAGCUAACGCAUUAAGUGUUCCGCCUGGGGAGUACGACCGCAAGGUUGAAACUCAAAGGAAUUGACGGGGACCCGCACAAGCGGUGGAGCAUGUGGUUUAAUUCGAAGCAACGCGAAGAACCUUACCAGGUCUUGACAUCCUUUGAAGCUUUUAGAGAUAGAAGUGUUCUCUUCGGAGACAAAGUGACAGGUGGUGCAUGGUCGUCGUCAGCUCGUGUCGUGAGAUGUUGGGUUAAGUCCCGCAACGAGCGCAACCCUUAUUGUUAGUUGCCAGCAUUCAGAUGGGCACUCUAGCGAGACUGCCGGUGACAAACCGGAGGAAGGCGGGGACGACGUCAGAUCAUCAUGCCCCUUAUGACCUGGGCUACACACGUGCUACAAUGGCGUAUACAACGAGUUGCCAGCCCGCGAGGGUGAGCUAAUCUCUUAAAGUACGUCUCAGUUCGGAUUGUAGUCUGCAACUCGACUACAUGAAGUCGGAAUCGCUAGUAAUCGCGGAUCAGCACGCCGCGGUGAAUACGUUCCCGGGUCUUGUACACACCGCCCGUCACACCAUGGGAGUUUGUAAUGCCCAAAGCCGGUGGCCUAACCUUUUAGGAAGGAGCCGUCUAAGGCAGGACAGAUGACUGGGGUGAAGUCGUAACAAGUGCAUGCCU
rnacentral:rRNA from 1 species